UCUGACCUAUCAGCUUUCGACGGUAUGGUAUUGGCUUACCGUGGCAGUGACGGUUAACGGGGGAUUAGGGUUCGAUUCCGGAGAGGGAGCCUGAGAAACGGCUACCACAUCUAAGGAAGGCAGCAGGCGCGCAAAUUACCCAAUUCUAACAGUUUGAGAGAGGUAGUAACAAGAAAUAACAAUACAAGGCAGUUAAAAUGCUUUGUAAUUGGAAUGAUAGAAAUUUAAACCCUUUUUAAAGUAUCAAUUGGAGGGCAAGUCUGGUGCCAGCAGCCGCGGUAAUUCCAGCUCCAAUAGCGUAUAUUAAAAUUGUUGCAGUUAAAAAGCUCGUAGUUGAAGUUCUGCUAAAAGUAACCGGUCUGCUUUUAAUAAAAGUGGUAUCUUGGUAUGUAUUUAGCAAUGAUGUCCUUUGAAGUGUUUUUUACUUUAUUGUAAUAAAGCAUAUUCAGGACUUUUACUUUGAGAAAAUUAGAGUGUUUCUAGCAGGCCGACGCUUUGAAUACUGCAGCAUGGAAUAAUAAGAUAGGAUUUUAGUUCUACAUUGUUGGUUUUAAGAGCUAAAUUAAUGAUUGAUAGGGACAGUUGGGGGCAUUUGUAUUUAACUGUCAGAGGUGAAAUUCUUA
rnacentral:rRNA from 1 species